rnacentral:rRNA from 1 species
GGUUAAGCGACUAAGCGUACACGGUGGAUGCCCUGGCAGUCAGAGGCGAUGAAGGGCGUGCUAAUCUGCGAUAAGCGCCGGUAAGGUGAUAUGAACCGUUAUAACCGGCGAUACCCGAAUGGGGAAACCCAGUGUGACUCGUCACACUAUCAUUAACUGAAUCCAUAGGUUAAUGAGGCGAACCGGGGGAACUGAAACAUCUAAGUACCCCGAGGAAAAGAAAUCAACCGAGAUUCCCCCAGUAGCGGCGAGCGAACGGGGAGGAGCCCAGAGCCUGAAUCAGCAUGUGUGUUAGUGGAAGCGUCUGGAAAGGCGCGCGAUACAGGGUGACAGCCCCGUACACAAAAGCGCAUGUGCUGUGAGCUCGAUGAGUAGGGCGGGACACGUGGUAUCCUGUCUGAAUAUGGGGGGACCAUCCUCCAAGGCUAAAUACUCCUGACUGACCGAUAGUGAACCAGUACCGUGAGGGAAAGGCGAAAAGAACCCCGGCGAGGGGAGUGAAAAAGAACCUGAAACCGUGUACGUACAAGCAGUGGGAGCCCCACCACUAAGCCAGUGGUGAACUCCACAUACGCAUCCUUUGCUGAGGAUACGGUUAACGGAGCGCAAGCGACGUUCAACCUCAAAAGAAGCAGAGGGGGCUUAGUGGUGG